rnacentral:lncRNA from 1 species
UGUUGUAGCUUUUUAUUUAAAGAGAUUAAAAUUAUUAUUUUUUCUUUUAACACAGGGUUUUGCUGAGUUGCUAAAGUAACCAGACUGGGCUAAAAUUUACAGUUCUCCUGCCUCAGCCUCCUGGACUGCUUGCAUUAAGGCACGUGACACCAUUCUCAGCUUUGUUGGCACUGAUUUCCAAGAGGACAUUCAGUAUUGGAUAUGGGUGGACACCAUCAGGAACUAUAAAAAUGUCAAGGGAACAAUGUUCAAAGCUGUGAGCACGGAACGAAAGGAAAGCGUUGGAAUGGGUUCAAAUGUACAGAUAAGUGAAAGUUUUCUUAGUUUUGUAGUAUA